UCGUGAUAUAUUUUAGUUUGUCAAAUUAAAAAUAUAAAAUAUAAAUUAUUGUUUUAUAUAGAGUGAGAAGGGAAGAGAGAAAUAGAGAAGGGAGAGAGGUAGAUAAGAAGAUAAAAGAAGAGAGUUUAUUUUUUGAGAAAAAUAUUUUAUUUCAAUUUUAAUGAGAGAAUGUCAUGUGACACAUUAUAGUUGUUAAA